ACUCAAAGGAAUUGACGGGGGCCCGCACAAGCGGUGGAGCAUGUGGUUCAAUUCGAAGCAACGCGAAGAACCUUACCUGGGUUUGAAAUGUAUUGGUAAGCCUCAGAGACGAGGUCCCCUCUUCGGAGGCCGGUACAUAGGUGCUGCAUGGCUGUCGUCAGCUCGUGUCGUGAGAUGUUGGGUUAAGUCCCGCAACGAGCGCAACCCUUGUCCAUAGUUACUAACGCGUAGUGGCGAGAACUCUAUGGAGACUGCCGGUGAUAAACCGGAGGAAGGUGGGGAUGACGUCAAGUCCUCAUGGCCUUGAUGUCCAGGGCUACACACGUGCUACAAUGGGCGGUACAAAGAGUUGCAAAGUCGCGAGACGGAGCUAAUCUCAAAAAGCCGCUCUCAGUUCGGAUUGCAGUCUGCAACUCGACUGCAUGAAGCUGGAAUCGCUAGUAAUCGCGGAUCAGAACGCCGCGGUGAAUACGUUCCCGGGCCUUGCACACACCGCCCGU
rnacentral:rRNA from 1 species